rnacentral:rRNA from 1 species
UACGUAGGGUGCGAGCGUUAAUCGGAAUUACUGGGCGUAAAGCGUGCGCAGGCGGUUCGUUGUGUCGGCGGUGAAAGCCCCGGGCUCAACCUGGGAAUGGCCGUUGAAACUGGCGAACUGGAGUGUGGCAGAGGGGGGUGGAAUUCCGCGUGUAGCAGUGAAAUGCGUAGAUAUUGGGAGGAACACCGGUGGCGAAGGCGGCCCCCUGGACCGGUACUGACGCUGAGGCGCGAAAGCGUGGGUAGCAAACGGG